GGGGUUGUGGCUCAGUGGUAGAGCGCUCACCUAGCAUGUGUGAGGCCUUGGGGUCGAUCCUCAGCGCCA
rnacentral:tRNA from 1 species